CUUUCCGAAGUCGGUUAUGACGUCGGUCUCAUAAAUGAUUUAUGAUCCUGUGCAACACACGGGGGCUAUCCGAAGGUCACGAGUUCGAUUCUCGUCCGAGGCA